CCCUUAGAUGUUCUGGGCCGCACGCGUGCUACACUGAGUGGAUCAGCGGGUCAGGUUGCGCGAAAGUGUUUCCUAAUCUUGAAAUCCGCUCGUGAUGGGGAUUGACGGUUGCAAUUUUCCGUCAUGAACGAGGAAUACCUUGUAAGCGCGGGUCAUCAUCCCGCGCUGAAUACGUCCCUGCCCUUUGUACACACCGCCCGUCGCUCCUACCGAUUGAGUGGUCCGGUGAGGCUUUGGGAUCUGAGCGGAAAGAGCGUUUCGCUGUUUCUGCUUGGAAAACUCAGUCGAACCUUAUCAUUUAGAGGAAGGAGAAGUCGUAACA
rnacentral:rRNA from 1 species